CACGAAGUUAGCCGGGGCUUAUUCUUCCGGUACAGUCAUUAUCUUCCCGGACAAAAGUGCUUUACAACCCUAAGGCCUUCAUCACACACGCGGCAUGGCUGGAUCAGGCUUGCGCCCAUUGUCCAAUAUUCCCCACUGCUGCCUCCCGUAGGAGUCUGGGCCGUGUCUCAGUCCCAGUGUGGCUGAUCAUCCUCUCAGACCAGCUACUGAUCGUCGCCUUGGUGAGCCAUUACCUCACCAACUAGCUAAUCAGACGCGGGCCGAUCUUUCGGCGAUAAAUCUUUCCCCCGGAAGGGCGUAUCCGGUAUUAGUACAAGUUUCCCUGUAUUAUUCCGAACCAAAAGGUACGUUCCCACGUGUUACUCACCCGUCUGCCACUAGCACCCGAAGGUACCCGUUCGACUUGCAUGUGUUAAGCCUGCCGCCAGCGUUCGCUCUGAGCCAGGACGUCAAACUAC
rnacentral:rRNA from 1 species